GGAGGUCUAGGCAAUUUGGGAGGUCUAGGCAAUUUGGGAAUUGGAAGAUAAUUCUGAAGAACUACAUCUACAUGGUUGCAACUGUCAAAGACAACCAUACAAUUACCAGCCCAACUGAAUACUGUCUAUAUGUUUGUGUACUCACGACUGUGUAGACCAGCUGCAUAAUGCUGAAUAAUUGUGCAUUAAAGAUGAAAGCUUCAGAUAUAGAUUUGUCCCAAUGAUUAUUAAUAAACAGCAUUUGGAGACUGUU